UCUAUGCGUCCCUCCAAGUUCCCUCCAGGUCCCUCCAGCUCUCUGAUCCUCGAGGUUGAAGCCAAGAACCCCGCGAAACCGGCUCCAUAGUGCCGCGGUACCCGCUAAUCAAAUCGCACAUUCCGAGAUCUCGCGGCAGUGUACAUUUUUCGGUGGAUCAGGCCUAACUAAAAGACGAUCGUUAACAUUCGCGAAGAAAUUCACUACCGCCGGUUGUCGUUUAUUUUUCAAUCGCACACGCAGAUGUGGAUGAGAUUUGUAAAGCAUCGGUGAUCGCUCGUCGAAUCGGUCGACGAUCAAUCAUAGUGGACACAGUGAGGAAAGAAAAGACGAAAGCGACGAAUUAAAUGCAGGACGUUACCAAAACAUCGACGUGGAAGGUUGCACGGUAUCGUAAGCCGCGUUCUUCAUUUACCUCCGAAAGUGAACCGAUCGGUGCACCUUUUACGGUCAGUGUCUCCGCAGGAGAUCAUAAAAGGACAACGGAGAGAUUAAUUCGAGCAGGACGGGCCCAUCGACGUGGAAGAUCGGUCGCCGAACGGAAUUCGGUGGAUUCCCAAGAAAAGUCGUACGAAACUCAGAGACCCGGGAAAGAAAGUCAUUGGCAGUGGACAGAGCGGGGGAUAAUCAUCGUUGGGUGAAUGGAGCGGACGUUUGCGGACCGAUGACGAACUCGAGACGAGUUUGGUGCAGCCGAUACCGGGGAAAAAACAAAAACAGAGCGUGGCAGGACGAAAAUCGCGAUUCAACGGCCGUGGAAUUCGCCGUUUCUUACCGGUCGCCGCGGCGCGACUCGUAUUCGGCUUGGAAUCGCCGGACGAAAAGAAGACCCGCGACGAGCAGCGCCGGCCGAAUCGUCCCAAAGUAUCGCUGCUACGUGAUUCAUUGGGUUUUUCUCUCUAUUGGCAUUCGGGAUUUACAUCGGUCCCGGCCACGAUUUCCAUCGACACGCGUGUAAAAACCUCACGACCGCCCGCCGCUGAUCAAAGACGAACAGCCGAGAUAGACGCGCGCGCCGCGUCCAACAGAUUAGAGGAUAGAACUACUAACAAAGCCUUUCCUAUCGAUGAUCUUCUUCGUCCUAUCUUCCUACCGGUCGUCGUUGUUGUAAUCUUCUUCGUUGAUCGUCGUUGUCGUCGUCGUCGUCGUUGUCGUCGUCGUCGGCGUCGUCGUCGUCGUCGUCAUCGCCGUCAAGCUUUCGCCAACCGGUACGAAAGCAAAGGACAAGGAGACUCGUUCAUUUCGACUGCACCUUGCCGAAACUCGUAUUAGGACUGGAACGCGAGGAAUAAGAAAGGCCAUCGCCUUUAGAGGUGCAGUUGUAUUAUCGUUUUACUGGUUGAACGUUCGAUGUAUUCGACGAAAUAUAUCGAUCACAAAGAAAAGUAGAAUCGAAGCGAGACGUAAGAGACGUAUUUAAAAUAAAUCGGGAAAACCUUGGGGUUUUCUGGUCCAAGUUAUUGGGGAUACCGUUUAUCGUUUCCGUAUCGAUGUUUUGGCGUUACACGUCUCGUGUCAAUUAUAAUGCAAUCGCGGAAGUUUUUCGAUGCACUUUGUAACAUAACCGACUAUGAAAUUAUCGAGCGUGAUUCAUGAAAGGCCUAUUGGAUAGAGAAUCACGGAGCAGUUAAAGAUAAUCGCGGUGUCACUGGAGGAGAGCGACGAGCUGCUGAUAUCGUUUUAAAAGAAAAUCUAUAAGGCGAAAAGAAAAACGAGACAAGAAUUAGUCUAAUCGCGGACGCGAUUUUAUAAAGAAAAAGUGUCACGAUCGGAGUAGCAUAGCCAAGGUUAUGGUCGAGAUAAACCGAGACCAGUGAACAGCCUGAUAAGACGUGGACCGUCGCUCUGGGUUUCAGAUUGCGAGAGGGACGCAACGAGUACGCGGUUGGUUUCAAGUCCGCUCGGACCUCGUCUCGAGGUGCUCCCUCUUCCCGUCCUUUCGAUUCUCGAUUUCGAUCUCGAUUCACGUGAUCCGAUCGAACCGCAGGGAAGCGCAAAAAUUCUGUCGGAGAAUUUCAGUGAUGCCGAUCAUCCGCCGCGGUGUCGUGCUUCGCCACUUUGAAGUGACAGUUUUCCACGAAACGAUUUAACUAUCGCGUCUCGACGACGACCGCAGUUCCAUCACUCUGGUAUCGUCGUUUCUUUUAAUCAUCCAGUGUCGACGAGUCAAUUCGAAUAAUAUAAUCUUCUCCUCGUCGCUGCGAAGAGUUGGAAAAAUAAUAAUUGUUACACUCACGUAUCUUCGCAAAAGGAUAACGCGAUUGUUAAACAAAUACAAACGCUAUUUUAGCUGGCGUUCGAUCGAUCAACGAGAACGCAGCGCAAAUACGCGAGACACGCGCGCACCUCGUGACUAUCCCGCUUUAUUAAUGACAAAUCAAGGUUUUUCUUCUCGCAAGAAGCGCGGUCGAAGCUAUUUACAAACAAACCGUUCCACAUCAGCCUCCUGGUAACUGCGCUCGUAAACAUCUACCAACGGUUGGCGCUUCGAUGAUCUACAAAACCGCGUAGGCGUUGCUUAUGCACGUGAUACGCGAUAGUUGAGCCGUCGAGCGAACCUCGAGCGUUCUCCCCUAAACAGGCAAAGUCAUCGGAAGGUGACAGAAAUAAAGAGCCUCUCGACGAUCGAUCGCCAUCGACGUCUGCUCCGCGACAACGCCAACGAGAUUACAACGGAACUUUGGACGAUCGAACGAUCAAACGAUAAAAACAUUGAAAACCGAUCGUUCGCUUGGAACGGUUAUUAAAACCGAUCAGUCGGCUUCUCGAGUAAUAUCCGGAAGCGACGAACGGCUUCAACGAGCGACGAAAGUGAGUGUUGAUUUCGCGCGAACCAUCGAUCCGCGCGCAACGGCACCAGUGUCUUCGAUCGAGUGCAGCUGUCUGUAGGUCCAGUGAACGCACGAUCGCGAUAUAGAAUUUCGUCUCGUGUAACAGUUUGAUUAGUGAAAACGUUAAUCUGGAGGACUCGAUCUUCGAGAUAAAGACUCUCGUGAUAGUGAAUCUCGCGAAUGAAAGCAGUCGACGAACUCGUACGAUUUUCCACGAACCAAUUUCACGACGAAAUUACCGCGCCCUUCUGCAAACCGAAUCGUAAGUAACGCUUUUAACGAAGGAGUUUCGCGUCCAACGAGAUCAAACGAUCGCCCUACGACGAUAACGCAAGAGUGUUAUACGUAGAAAUCUGGUGUCGAUCGAUGCCGAAGGGAAAAGAUUUAGGACGAAAUUGAGCCGAUCUCGUUAGAACGAAGAACAUCCGGCGUCGAUCAGUGUUCCCGUGACAGCCGCUUCCUGGUUUAUACUGGAGCUGUACUUGCCGUACGCACCACUGCCGGGGGGUGGCGGAAUCCUCCCGGCGGUGAGCAGCGGACCUGCUUCUGGAGGGUGUCGUCCGGUAUUGUUGGGUGGCGUCGAUCUGUCCAUGUCGGCGGCGGUGCAACCGGUCGCGACGCUGCCGACGCUACCGAGUAGCGGUCCGCCGCCGCACAAUCCGCUCCAUCAUACACCCGGGGGAUUGGCGUUGCCGCCGUUGGGCUCGGCGCCGGUGAUGAUGCCGCGUCCACCGACCACCACCAUGCCGUCCUUGGGCCCCUCGUUGCCACCCUCGCACCAGGACGCUGCCGAUUUGGCCGAGGCUGCGCCAAACCAGGACGUCCUGUUGGCUCUCCUCGCCAGGAACAAGAACUUGGAAGAACGGAAGAUCAAAACACCAAGCUGUUUUCCGAUCAAGGAAGAACCAUCGAUACCAAAGUGCGGAGGCUGUCAGGAAGCGAUUUUGGACAAAUACGUUCUGAGAGUUCUGGAAAGGUGUUGGCAUGCAAGGUGCCUCACGUGCCGGGAUUGCGGUGCAAGAUUGACUGAUAAAUGUUUCGCAAGAAACGGCCAUGUCUUUUGCAAGGACGAUUUCUUCAAGUAUGGCAGGCGUUUCGGGACGAAAUGCGCGGGCUGCGGCCAAGGAUUGGCACCGUCGCAAGUCGUGCGUAGGGCGCAAGAAUUGAUCUACCAUCUAACUUGUUUCUCGUGCGCCCUUUGCUCUCGACAGUUGGACACUGGGGACGAGUUCUACCUCAUGGAAGAUAGAAAGCUCGUUUGUAAACCCGACUACGAGCAGGCGAAGGCAAAAGAAUUGGCAGACGGAGGAAGUAUAGACGGUGACCAACCGAACAAAAGGCCAAGGACCACGAUCACAGCGAAGCAGUUGGAUACUUUAAAAUCAGCGUACAAUAACAGUCCUAAGCCAGCGAGACACGUGCGAGAGCAACUUUCUCAUGAUACAGGACUCGACAUGCGCGUGGUUCAAGUUUGGUUCCAAAACAGGAGAGCAAAAGAGAAGAGACUGAAGAAAGACGCGGGUAGAACAAGAUGGUCUCAGUAUUUUCGAAGUAUGAAAGGGACGGGUGCAGGUGGACAUUCACCUAGGCACGAUAAGCUUCUUGAUAAGGACGAGCUUAAGAUCGACUUAGACUCCACCUUUGGUCACCAUGAUUUGAGCAACGAUAGUUACGGAACAGUGGUGAACAUGGGAUUAGAUGGUGAAGGCGCGAGUCCAGGUGGGGUUGGAAAUGGGGCAAGCGGGGGCCCUCCACGUAGUUAUUUGGGUGCAACAACUCCCCCUUAUCUCUCAACGUCCAGAUCACCGUCCUUACCACCUCAAUUUCCAUAUCCACCGGAUGCUGGCCUCUCCGUCUACACUACCCUUGGAGGCACAGGUGGCAUGGUACCAGGACCGGCAUCGGAUUUGAGCAACGAAUCGAGCGGAGGUGGUGGUGGCGGCGGAGGCGGCGGUGGAGGUGGUUACCCGGACUUUCCACCCUCGCCCGAUUCAUGGCUCGGCGAACCACCACCUCCACACGCUCACCACCAUUCCCACUACGCCACAUAACCCGGCAAACAGACGCGUUGCCAAGCACCGUUCGGAAGAACGGAUCGGCGCAAGGCGUUUACCUGACGAUCUUUAUCCAUAAGGCAAGACUCAAUUAAAAGACUAAGUCUUCGAUCGAAUCAUCAACCUGUCCACUUUCGUCGAUCGUCGACGAUCUUACGUUCACGAGUCUCGAUCUCGAGAGGAUCUCGGCGUUCUCGGUGUAUCGCCAAGAGAUCCAUCUAACAAGAGCGGAACUCGAUCAGGAUAUGUGUGACGAUCGAGCACCGUCUCGAGCCACAGGAGUCAUUCCACACCGUACACUUCACCGUCCCGGCGAGGUUCCCAUCAUCGGAAUGAUGCCAUAUGUCGCUGUCGUAUAAAGUUACAUUUAGAGCGCGUAUACGAUACGCAUUCGAUAGCUACGAUUAAUCUAAAUAUAUUUAUGUACAAGUUCCUCGUUUCCCGGUACUAUGGAGUUUAAUCGUCGAAUAAAGAAAAACUAGAGGGUAGUUUAGGCGUGUCGCGAGACCGGUUGUUCGCAAGGAAUCGAUAUCGUUCGAAAGAACGAUAUUUCGUAACGCACUCUUUUUUUCAACAUCUAUGUAUGUUGGUACUUAAUGAAGUCAUCAAGAUAUUAGCAAGAAUGGGUAUCGCGUAAGGAACUGACAUUCGUUCUAGGGAAUAUAUACACAUUGCCGUUGAACGAACUGCGAUUCAUAGAGAUCGUACUUGACGAAAGAUAUCGUUUCAUUAGUGAGCAUCGCUAGACACGUUUCUAUGGUAUACCGCGCUUACGUGACGCUAGAAGUUUCAAGUGUCGUUUAUUGUACAUAGUUCAGAUUAGAUUUUAUUGUACUACCGUAAGGGAAGGAGGAAAAAUGGGAGGGUAGAAUGAAAGCAGGAAAGAUGGGAAGGAUAGGCGUACAGCGAUCUCCAAGGAAGCGACGCCGUCCGCGAAUGAAAUUCGAAAUAAAAAGUUAACCCUGAAGCACUAAUGAAUUUUUUCCAUCGACGCUCGAUAAAUCGAUUUUCUCGUGAAUGCAAGAUAAUUACACGAAACCGGUCCGUUAUUUUUCGUCAGCGAAGCUGCGACAUAGCAUGAAAUCGUGAACGCUCGAUCGCGGAAGCGUGGAUUGUAAAAUCAGUUUCGAUUGGUCAAACGAUUUACAUUUUUUUUUUUUUUUUCAUAAUGAAUAUAUAUCGAAUGUCGCGCUCUUGUAAUGUAAAGUACAUACAUAAAAUGUAAGUACAAUACGAAUUUAGUGCUGCAGAGUUGGCUAGCUUCGCGACCAAUCAGAAUCGUUCUACUUACCGCGAAUCGCUCAGUCCACUUUAAGAGACGGACGAGCGAGCACGAGGUGGAAAUAUUGUCCACGUUAGAUCGAACGUCGUCGCAUGAUUUCCGAACGCCUUAUUCAAAUUGAUUCAAGAAGUGUGAUUUUCGAGCGAACGACAGCCAGGUGUGGAUUAUUAAUUGUGUUGUAAUUUAUUGCAAAAAGGUUUACUUGCGACUGGUGAAUCGUGGAGAACUAUGAUAAGUCGAGAGAGGCUUGCCCUUAUGGAUACAACGAUCGAUGUAUCCAUAAACAAAACCAAUCGUGUAGUCUACAUCGUGAGGCAUAACGAAGAUGUUUCUUAGCGUGACAACGCAACGAAUAUCGACAUCCAUGAUUGUCGCUCGAAAAAUUGUAUAUACGUCGCCCCGAUUAUUUUACCCGCGAAAAUUCGACGAACUGAAAUUGAAAGGAGAGCUGAAACAAGAAACAUGGUGUAUUUCGUCGGGUAAAAGAACUGAAUGUUGUACAGUUAUGAAAAUCGAACACACACACUCCUCACCGGGUUUCAUAAAAAUGAAUAAAAAAAGAUUCGCAUGACUAGCGCAAUUCAUAACUUCAUCAACACGAGUUACUACGGAUCUUUAUAUUAUUAUCUAGUCAUCGAGUGAUAAUAAAAAUUCUAUCGUAAUCUAUAUCACGUUGUACUGUGUACUUUCAAACUCUUCAUUUUUAUCCGUACACGAGCUUAAGCAAAAUUUAUACUUUGUACAUUAAUUCUCUACAGGCGUUCUAUUAACGUUAGCUUUUAUCAAGUUCAUUGUUUUAUUCUAUUUUAUCAUAUAUCUCGUUAUCAUUCUUUUAAAUAUUUUCUAACGAAUGUAAACAACGUAAUUUUUAGUAAAUUAUCGUCCAGCUUUGAGAAUUGAGAAUUACGGAUAAGAUUUAAACAUAUUUUUUAUGUAAAACAUGCCCCUAUUUAUAAAAUAUCUCUGUUGUCCAGAACAGCGGGAAGUAAGUUAUUCUAAUUUUAAGUAAGUAAAAUUUAUUGUCUCCUUAGUUUGCUUUCACUCAUACCGCAUGUACAUCCGACAGUAAAUGGGAAAUGGUCUUUUAAAAUUUUUAUUGGGUGCAAGAAUACAACAUAGGAUACGAAGGGAGAUAUAAACGAAAGUAUAAAUUGGAACUGGAAGUAAGAAGUAAUCUUUUUUCUAACUUUAACGUCAUUUUUUCCUUUCAAAUAUCAAUGGCACUUUAUUUGCGAAGAUUAUGUACAGAUGCUGUGUAAUGACUUUCUCGGUGUUCAUAUGUACACGCGCGCGAAAAACGUCGAGAACUCGAAGAUACGAUAAAAUGGACAGCUUUCGUUUCGAUGAUAAGGUUGUAGUAACCUUCGAAGAGAAGAAACAAUCUACAAAAGAAUUCGAAUACACAUACACGAUUAUAUACAAAACUUACAUAUACAGCUUCGUUUUUUCCACGAAGAUUCCUUUCUUUCUUUUUUCCUUGUCGUCGUCUUUUCUCUAUAUUAAUUCUUACAUCUUCCCUAUUUUCGCUCAACGCUUCACGAAUAUACGAAAAUACUUUUUCUUACAAAAUACAAUAACCGUCGCCGCCGUCUUUCGUUCAUUUGUACAAAUACAGUUCGUACGUUGACGAUUGUUCGAAAUUUUUAUAUGAAUCGAAAAAACGUAUGAAAUACAGAAAUAUAGUAAAAACGCGAUUAAAAAAGUUGAGGAUAAUUUCAGUUCUUUAAAAAC